rnacentral:rRNA from 1 species
GGAAGGAUCAUUACUGAAUUGUCAACAAGAGUUGUUGCUGGCCCCUGUACGGGGGCAUGUGCACGCUCUGUUUACACAUCCACUCACACCUGUGCACCCUCUGUAGUUCUAUGGCCUGGGGGGGCUCUGUCCUCCUGUGCUGUGGUUCUACGUCUUUACACACACACUGUAAUAAAGUCUUAUGGAAUGUACGUCGCGUUUAACGCAAUGAAAUACAACUUUCAGCAACGGAUCUCUUGGCUCUCGCAUCGAUGAAGAACGCAGCGAAAUGCGAUAAGUAAUGUGAAUUGCAGAAUUCAGUGAAUCAUCGAAUCUUUGAACGCACCUUGCGCCCUUUGGCUAUUCCGAAGGGCAUGCCUGUUUGAGUAUCAUGAACACCUCAACUCUCAUGGCUUGCCUGUGAUGAGCUUGGACUUUGGGGGUCUUGCUGGCCUGUGGUCGGCUCCUCUCGAAUAAAUUAGCUUGCCGGUGUUUGGUGGGGUCACAGGUGUGAUAACUAUCUACGCUUGCGGUUUUCCACCAGGUAACCUUCAGCAAUGGAGGUUCACCGGAGCUUACAAAUGUCUCUCCUCAGUGAAGACAGAUUUUGACCAUUUGAUCUCAAAUCAGGUAGGACUACCCGCUGAACUUAAGCAUAUCAAUAAGCGGAGGAAAAGAAA